UACGUAGGGGGGCAAGCGUUUGUCCGGAUUUAUUGGGCGUAAAGAGCGUGUAGGCGGUUUGGUAGGUCCGUUGUGAAAACUCGAGGCUCAACCUCGAGACGCCGAUGGAAACCAUCAGACUAGAGUCCGGAAGAGGAGAGUGGAAUUCCUGGUGUAGCGGUGAAAUGCGCAGAUAUCAGGAAGAACACCCGUGGCUAAGGCGGCUCUCUAGUACGGUACUGACGCUGAGACGCGAAAGCGUGGGGAGCGAACAGG
rnacentral:rRNA from 1 species